GGAGGGGGGCAGCUGGCAACACAGAUGUGAUGGAUUGUUUUGGUGCUCCUUAAGGACUACGGAAAAACAGACAUGUCACUUUUCCCACACUAAAAAUGCAGCCUCUCGAGGAUGAAAUUGAACUUGUUCCAAUCCCUCUGCAGACCUUAUUACAGCGGAGAGGUUAUAGUCAGUUCUUUAAUUUCCCUCCCCACAGGAAAUGGUCUGUGCCACACAAGCUAGAACAGGUUCUCUGUUAACAGAUUUGGCGAUCGCCUCUACAGAGCUGUGGUUUCCAGUCAAUGAGGUCAGAGGCGUCUGUUUACUCAAAGAACGCCAUUACUGAUGCAGCACAAGUGGACAGAUUUGUUCUUAUCAAAUAAGUUGUGCAGGCGGUCAAAUCGUCCAGUCAGUGUGCAAAGAAGGUUCUCUUCAGCCAGAGACAAAGAUGUCUGCACAGCACAGCCAGCAUUUGGUUAGUUUCAGAACACAAGAAAGCUCACAUGAGCAUUUCCUUCUGGAGUAGCUACAGAAUUGCAACCUUUUCAAAAUAAAACUUUUCCCUUCACCCUUUACUUUUGAAGGAUGUGCCUAAGUGCACAAUCAGCAGCUGCUGUGAUGGAAACUAAAAGAGAGCAAAGCAUGCUUGAGAGGGGUUAAAAAAAUAAAAGUAAAAAACUAGCCAAAUGUGUCGGAGAGCCCAGGGUGGAUUUAUGACAAUCCGUGUAAAACCACAAGGACACAAAGUCAGUAUACAUUUUUAUUCUGCGUAUUUAACAAGCUUGUGCAUUCCAGAUUCUUACAAAAAGACACUGCUCGCCAUGAGAGCAUGCACACAGUGGCCAGACGGUUUACAAAUGAUUGGGCAAGUGUUCCAUGACACGUCCCCCAAACACCACACGUGAAGAUGCAUCCACAGCAACAGAUUAGCAGGAACCCAUGCCGACAAGCCACACUCCCUCACUGUGCAGAGGGUCAUCGGCCGAGCGGCUUGGCAGACAUGUUUUUAAGUACCGCAGUUGGAAUACACAGAGUGACAGAAGAGUAGUAAGGCUUGUGGAAUGUACAAUGCACAGCGCUUCAUUAUGAAGUCUUCUCCUGGUCGAUGGCUGGAAGAGAAGAAGACGUUAGUGUCACUGGAAGGUUGGCAGACACGGCAGAAUCAAAAGGGGGUUACAGCAGGUACAUCACAUACUUUCUUUGGUAGGCAGGGUGUUUUUCUCCUGGGUUUCGGUCUUCUUCAGCUUGGUCUUGUCGAAGUUGGCGACUUCCGAGACGUCAGGUUUGUCAGCCAUUUCUGCAGAAGGUUCUAAAAACGAGACAUGGGAACCCGAAUGAGUGGCCCUUCAAUUUAAAAAAAAAAAAAAAAAAAAAAUACUGGCAGCUGUUCACCGAUCAGAAUAAAGAGCUCGAAAAUAAAAACCGUCCCAUCUACCUGCAAAUAUACCAAAAAUGUACCUUUAAUGUGAAAAAACACGCCUCGUGUGCGAGUGUUGAAGAUGCUUUAGCCAGACAGUGAACGCGUGAGGCUGAGGAGGACACCGCCCUUCAAUGCGAUCCAGACGUGCGCUGCUUUCACUAGACGACCCCCCCCACACACACACACGCACGCACAUCCCCCCACCUCCUGAACAAAAACCCGGCUAAGAAAAAGAGUCGCAUGGGUAGUCCAAACGAACGAGUCGGGAGACAAACACCCAAGCGCGAGACGGUUUUGUUUGAGACACCCUUUCACCCCAAAUACGCGCAGUUACCUCUGCAGCGCCGCUUUGAGGAGCUCGCGCCAUCGGGAGAUUUUUCCAAUUAACUCCGGCGGCUUUUAGAAGACACCUCGAGCAGCUCGCGGGGAGCCUAGACCGCGCGAGCGAAAGGCUCCCCCUCAAACAAUCAUCGGUAAAAGGUUGAAUAAAAAACAAAUCAUGACGCCGGAAGCGCACUCACCUGGUUUUGCGCUGUAGUGACGAAGCGAUGCGCGUCUCGUGGGCACAGGAGCGGAGUGAU
ensembl:lncRNA